GGUUCGAUCAUAAGCUCAAGUUGAACGCCUUUGGCGGAUGCUACAUGCAAGUCGAACGCAGCACGGACUUCGGUCUGGUGGCAGUGGCGAACGGGUGAGUAAUGUAUCGGAACGUGCCUAGUAGCGGGGGAUAACUACGCGAAAGCGUAGCUAAUACCGCAUACGCCCUUCGGGAAAGCGGGGGGACCUUCGGGCCUCACUAUUAGAGCGGCCGAUAUCGGAUUAGCUAGUUGGUGGGGUAACGGCUCACCAAGGCGACGAUCCGUAGCUGGUUUGAGAGGACGACCAGCCACACUGGGACUGAGACACGGCCCAGACUCCUACAGGAGAGCAGCAGUGGGGAAUUUUGGACAAUGGGGGAAACCCUGAUCCAGCCAUCCCGCGUGUACGAUGAAGGCCUUCGGGUUGUAAAGCACGGCGGGAAAGAAACGCUCGGGAUAAUACCCCGUGCAACCGACAGCCUGCAGAACCAGCACACCGGCUAACUACGUGCCAGCAGCCGCGGUAACCAUGGUGCAAGCAUUCAAUCGGAAUUACUGGGCGUAAAGCGCAGGCGGUUCGGAAGAAGAAUGCUUAAAUCCGGGCUUAACUUUGGAACUGCAUUUUUAACUACCGAGCUAGAGUGUGUCAGAGGGAGGUGGAAUUCCGCGUGUAGCAGUGAAAUGCGUAGAUAUGCGGAGGAACACCGAUGGCGAAGGCAGCCUCCUGGGAUAACACUGACGCUCAUGCACGAAAGCGUGGGGAGCAAACAGGAUUAGAUACCCUGGUAGUCCACGCCUAAACGAUGUCAACUAGCUGUUGGGCCUUCGGGCCUUGGUAGCGCUAACGCGUGAAGUUGACCGCCUGGGGAGUACGGUCGCAAGAUUAAAACUCAAAGGAAUUGACGGGGACCCGCACAAGCGGUGGAUGAUGUGGAUUAAUUCGGUGCAACGCGAAAAACCUUACCUACCCUUGACAUGUCUGGAAUCGAAGAAGAGAUUUGGGAGUGCUCGCAAGGGAACACAGGUGCUGCAUGGCUGUCGUCAGCUCGUGUCGUGAGAUGUUGGGUUAAGUCCCGCAACAGGCGCAACCCUUGUCGUGUAGUUGCUACGAAAGGGCACUCUAAUGAGACUGCCGGUGACAAACCGGAGGAAGGUGGGGAUGACGUCCAAGUCCUCAUGGCCCUUAUGGGUAGGGCUUCAUACAAUGGUCGGGACAGAGGGUCGCCAACCCGCGAGGGGGAGCCAAUCCCAGGGAAACCCGAUCGUAGUCCGGAUCGCAGUCUGUCGACUGCGUGGGGGUGGAAUCGCUAGUAAUCGCGGAUCAGCAUGUCGCGGUGAAUACGUUCCCGGGUCUUGUACACACCGCCCGUCACACCAUGGGAGUGGGUUUACCGGAAAUGAGUUAGCCUAACCGUAAGGAGGGCGAUUACCACGGUAGGAUUCAUGACUGGGGUGAAGUCGUAGCUGGUGUAG
rnacentral:rRNA from 1 species